UGUUAAAAUGGCUUAUUUUUCACUUUGGUUAAUAACCUAAGUGAAUGCAUGCUUCCAGAGUCCCACUCUGAUGUUUCUUUCUCAAAGGCAAUAAUACUCUAUCAGUUGCUUUGGUUCUGAUCCUGGGAUAUAGAGUAAUAUCUUAAAGUGACAAACUCAGUGGUUCUUCACCUUUGGAUAUCUACUUCACAAGUCCAUACAUGUGUCCCUUU
rnacentral:lncRNA from 1 species